AGUGAACGCUGGCGGUAGGCCUAACACAUGCAAGUCGAACGGCAGCACAGUAAGAGCUUGCUCUUACGGGUGGCGAGUGACGGACGGGUGAGGAAUACAUCGGAAUCUACUUUUUCGUGGGGGAUAACGUAGGGAAACUUACGCUAAUACCGCAUACGACCUACGGGUGAAAGCAGGGGAUCUUCGGACCUUGCGCGAUUGAAUGAGCCGAUGUCGGAUUAGCUAGUUGGCGGGGUAAAGGCCCACCAAGGCGACGAUCCGUAGCUGGUCUGAGAGGAUGAUCAGCCACACUGGAACUGAGACACGGUCCAGACUCCUACGGGAGGCAGCAGUGGGGAAUAUUGGACAAUGGGCGCAAGCCUGAUCCAGCCAUACCGCGUGGGUGAAGAAGGCCUUCGGGUUGUAAAGCCCUCUUGUUGGGAAAGAAAAGCAGCAGGUUAAUACCCCGCUGUUCUGACGGUACCCAAAGAAUAAGCACCGGCUAACUUCGUG
rnacentral:rRNA from 1 species